CAGUCGCCGCGGGAAUACGGAGGGGGCUAGCGUUGUUCGGAAUUACUGGGCGUAAAGCGUACGUAGGCGGCUUUGUAAGUUAGAGGUGAAAGCCCGGGGCUCAACCCCGGAAUUGCCUUUAAGACUGCAUCGCUUGAAUCGCGGAGAGGUGAGUGGAAUUCCGAGUGUAGAGGUGAAAUUCGUAGAUAUUCGGAAGAACACCAGUGGCGAAGGCGGCUCACUGGACGCGUAUUGACGCUGAGGUACGAAAGCGUGGGGAGCAAACAGGAUUAGAUACCCCCGUAGUCCCUGUCUCUUAUAC
rnacentral:rRNA from 1 species